UACAGAGGGUGCAAGCGUUAAUCGGAAUUACUGGGCGUAAAGCGCGCGUAGGUGGUUCAGUAAGAUGGAAGUGAAAUCCCCGGGCUUAACCUGGGAACUGCUUUCAUAACUGCUGAGCUAGAGUACGGUAGAGGGUAGUGGAAUUUCCUGUGUAGCGGUGAAAUGCGUAGAUAUAGGAAGGAACACCAGUGGCGAAGGCGACUACCUGGACUGAUACUGACACUGAGGUGCGAAAGCGUGGGGAGCAAACAGGAUUAGAUACC
rnacentral:rRNA from 1 species